GUCGCAGGACUGGUCCUAUCCAGCCCAGGAGAUACGCUCCCCAGUCCAGGAUGUCCAGAUGGCCCUGCUGCCUGGAGAGGCUCUGGCCCCUGCCGGUAGCUGCCACAGCACCAGCCCAAGCUCUCCCUUCCUGCAGGUUCGUGCACACGACUAAUAGAACCCCUCCUCUGGAACUCACAAGAUAUUCUCCAUCCUGCAUAGGGCUGGGGGCUUGAGCACCCCAGGAGAUUCUUUUGGAGCUGGAGACCCUUUUCUGAGGAGCCAGCAGAGGGCCUGCAAGUCAGAUUGAGCAACGCGGGAGAAGAAGCAUCAUCCCUUCAUCUUGAGGCCUGGUCCAGGGAGGUGAAGGGAUGUGGACUGUCCCCAGCCGUACACUCACCCACAACUCAUGCAUGCAAGCAUUCAUGCCCCAAUGCACACACUGCACCACACACACACACAUAUUUUCCUUGAAUCUCUCUCUCUCUCACACUCACACACACACACACACACACACACACACAUACUCUCCCAUCCACACACACACAACACUUUAGGAGAAACUGAGCAAAGAAAGGCAGCCUCUCACUGCGAGUCCUCUAACCCCCGUCCCAGUGGUUGUUGUGCACUGAAGCUUCCUUGCCAGGGGCUCUGACGGGAUUCUUGUGUUAAUAUGAUUGUGUCCAUGCUUGUUUUCUCCCAUCAAUUUUCAAUCCUGUUUAAUUAAAACGCUGACUUUCCUGUUUAGUAUCUUCUCAACUGCAGCUUCUCCCUGCUCUCUUUCCUGGCAGGGAGGUGAUUCUGCAGAAGUUGGGGCUCCUGACAACUUUG
rnacentral:lncRNA from 1 species